rnacentral:tRNA from 6 species
GGCUCGUUGGUCAAGCGGUUAAGACACCGCCCUUUCACGGCGGUAACACGGGUUCGAAUCCCGUACGGGUCA